AAAAACAGAACUGGAAGAGAAAACUGAAUUACAAAUCACAAAAAAAUUAAAUAUUUAGGAAUAUGGCUGACAGCAAGAUGCUCAUCAAUAAAGGAAGAUAAUUACAAUAAGCUAAUGCAACAGACAAAGAAAGAUUUGGAAACUUGGGGAAA